UGAGAGAGCAGAGAUAGAGAGAGAGGGAUAGAGAGAGAAAUCUCACACAGUUUCCUGUUCAAAUUCAUCACCUUCAGACUCCUCAGCAUUGUCCGGGUCAUCAUCAUCGGCGUCUUCCUCGUCUGCAUCUUUAUCGUUCUCAGCUGCACUUUUCCCAAUCACAACA